rnacentral:piRNA from 1 species
UAAAUUAAGCCGACCACUCGUUCUCACCC